CUCGUUCCCGAACUCCUGUUUGCCUCCGUGCACCGACCCACGCCUGUCCACUGACCACCCUGGUUGGGUGUUUGUCUGUGAAGAAUACAUUGAAAAUUGCUCAAGUCUACAGGAAGCGGGAGACAUCAAGGACAGAUGCGGAAGCAGGAAUGCUUGUGUUUUCACAGAGUUCUGUGAUUUAUUGAUGUCAUCGUUGGAGGAGAGAUAAAUGAUAAAUCUGGACAUCAUUACGAAGCAUAUCCUAAUUGCUGUCCCAGUGUUGCUAUACCUAUUAUUAAACAAAGUGUAAAAUAGAAUUGACAAUUAAGCACCAUCAUA